UUCAUUGAACUAACAUGAAUCAACAACCAUAUCUUUGUUUCUUUUCAGUUAAGGAUACUUCAAUAUGCACUGGUUGAGUUUAUGUUGGUUGGCUAGGGGUCAACUUUGUUCUGUACCAUUUUUGUUUUUCAGUUUAUAUGUUCUGUACCAACUCCAUCUUGUGGAGUUGUUGAGUGGAGAAAGUGGAUAAUAUGAUGAGUUUUCCUGCUAGCAGAUCAGAAGUGUUUCCAAGUGUUUCAGCAACUUACAAAUCAAAGAUUGUAUAAAACUAAUAAUUUGCAUUAUAAACUAUAAACCCGCAAGUAGAAGCAGUAUUAGGAAUACUUGGGACAUAAUCAAGAUUCAAGAACUAACCGAGAUUUGGUCUUGCUGUGGCAGUAUUAUGAAUUUGACUGCUUCUCAAACUUGACUCUUGUAGAGUCAACCAGUUUCUUAUAUUAACUGCCUUUCAAAAUAUCAAAUUGCAAUGUUUCAGUUCUGAUUUCUUCAACUCUGAUUCCAUAUAUAUAUGCAUUGGUAUAGCGUGCAGGAGGUUCAAAAGUCAUGUUAUGCAGCUUGAAGCCCUAUUGAGAGGAGUGGCGCCAAUGUUGACAGCAAUAGGUUGAGGACUAGCAAAAGAAAGAUCAAAAGGCCAAUAAAGUACAUUAACUACCGGGAUUAUACACGGUAUUAUGUGGAGUAAGGGCUACAUAGGAGGAAAGAUCGCUGCAGAUAAAGGUUUGAAGCUUGUUAAAGUCUAGUGUGGUCAAAGUCGUAACUAGUAUCUUCUAUCUCCUAAGAAUCAAGUUUUGCCUUGUCCACAAUGUCUGAAUAGUUCAACUGUUGGCUCAAUCAUUAUGUAACUGUUGGCUAGGUUUAGAGUUGGAACUAUGAAUUGUAUUUUGGAUGAUGUUGAUGCAAUGAAACAUAGGCAUCAUUUUGAAUGCUGAUUUUAGUCCAAUUUUAUGGUUUUGAUGAUUGUAGAUGAAUGAUGUUGAAAUUGUUG